AAGCUCGUAGUUGAACCUUGGACCUGGCUGAUCUGUCCUCCUAAUCGAGCGUACGGAUUCGGUCGGGUCUUUCCUUCUGGGGAACCCUAUGUCCUUCAUUGGGUGUAGUGGGGAACCAGGACUUUUACCUUGAAAAAAUUAGAGUGUUCAAAGCAGGCCUUUGCUCGAAUACAUUAGCAUGGAAUAAUAGAAUAGGACAUCGGUUCUAUUUUGUUGGUUUCUAGGACCGCUGUAAUGAUUAAUAGGGAUAGUCGGGGGCGUCCGUAUUCAAUUGUCAGAGGUGAAAUUCUUGGAUUUAUUGAAGACGAACUACUGCGAAAGCAUUCGCCAAGGAUGUUUUCAUUAAUCAGUGAACGAAAGUUAGGGGAUCGGAGACGAUCAGAUACCGUCGUAGUCUUAACCCUAAACUAUGCCGACUAGGGAUCGGACGGUGGUUUUUUUAUGCCCCGUUCGGCACCU
rnacentral:rRNA from 1 species